AUUCUUCCUACUCUCAUUCCUCUGGCACUUGGUGGCAAGAUUCCAGCACAGCAAGUGUAAUCAAUAGACUCCUAUAAGUCUUUCUUGCUGCUAGUGGUUGGGGUCAGCCGUUGGUGAGCCUAAAGGAAUAAUAAGGGCCUCCCCUCUUCUGGUUAGAUCCUACUAUAGACUAGCAUAGUGUUUUCCUUUUUUCUCUUGUUUGGUCAAAUAGGUGAAAGCAUUUAGAUUUCCUGAAAUUAUUUUCUGUUUAGGGAUUAUCUUUAAGAUACCGAAUCGGAUACUUCAUGGAGACUCUUCACCUUGUUGUGUGUUGGUCCCUACCCUUAGCUCUGGGAAAAAAUUUGCCCUAGUGGUAGAAACGUUAGACUUUCUGGAUCCAGAGCUCAUGGGUUUUGCCUUCAGUCAGUUCUGCUUUUGGAUUUGGUCCUGGAUGCCCUAGCUGGGCUUUGCUGCUGAUCUUUGGUUGCUGUGGUUAGGUUUCCACCAUGAGUGGCUAGAUCCCCAGAUGCUGUCUGUCUGAUUGAUUGAAGCUCUGCUUAUUGCCUGCCAUCAGAGUCACCUGAUGAUAAACUCUGUUCACCUGCAAGGCUAUCCACCUGUUGUCUACUUCUAGACCUAUCUAACGCUUAACAUCUGUCUGACUGAACUUCCUUCCUUAUCCAGCCAGUCUUCCUUUAGUUUGCUGUGAGGAUUUUCCUAACAGCCUCUCCAUCUGUCUGAUCUGGCUCCAGUGGGACAGUCUAACAUCUGUAUUUGGUCUCCUCCAGAUUGGCCAUUUGUGUUACUGACAAAAUCCCUGGUCCCAAAGCAAAAGAGAAUGGCGUAUAGUGGAAAUAUGUGAGAAGCAGAAGGCGAAGAGUAUGUAAAGUGGGUCGCCACCACAGAGUGCCUUGAUGAGCAGUAUGUAGGCCCGCACCCAGAAUCUGAAGCUGAGAACCUUGGGCCGUUGAAGCAGAGAGCACGAACUUAACCAGUAUGCCACUGGGCCAGCCCCUGAGCAGUGUUUUUAAUGUUGUGAUACUAAUGCACUCUUUGCUGACUGACCUUUGCCUGUUUUUAUACUGCCAACACAAAGAAUCUUUAGACUGUUAGCACAGGGAUCCAGGGCUCUGAUUCACAAUAAAAUGCAAAGACCACAGAGCAGGUAAGAUCCCUGUAUCAGUUAUUUACAUCUCUGUGUGAACCAAGCGUGAUAAGGGAUAGAGGAAAAGGCCUAAAGGCUCUAGGCUGUUGGGAAGAAGCAGGCCUCUCUGAAAAUGCUGGGAUGGGUAUAAAGCCAGCUUUCUACUUCACACCUCUACCAAGUGCUGUUACUUAACACCCCCAGACGUUCUCACUCCACUGCUGUGCCCACUCUUAUGUCUGUUUUCCUCCUUUGUUUUAUUCUGUCAUAUGUGAUUUUAGUUUUCAGUUACCUUUCUU
rnacentral:lncRNA from 1 species